GAGUCCAACUUAAAGGGAGUGCUAAUGACAAUGAACAGGUGCAGGGAAUCCAGGGCGAAGCAGGAAGCUGAUGAGGGAAGUGCGAACAGGUGAUGAAGUCCGGGACAGGCGUGGUUGUAACAAUAGUAGAAGCAUAAGCUGAAAAGACCAAAAGGGCCUUUCGUUAAUAUACAGAAGAGACAGAAAGCUGCAAAGGCAAAUAUUUGCAAUGGUAAGUAUGUGUUGGUUUCAACCCUUUAUCAAACAUUUUAUCAAGCAUUUGUUAAAGUCUCAAAGUCUUAAAUUAAAAUUAGUCAAUUCCUGUACAUAUUUAUCACCAUAUCUGUGAAUCAGUUUUGCCCCUUCUUGGACAGUUGGAUGUCCCACACACUGUCAGAAAGUUUACAUUAAUAUUAUUGAAUUCUUUAAAAUUAUUACAAAUUGGGCUCAAAAUGUUUCAAUGAUACCUGAUGUCUCUCCGCACCGCAUAACCUACCUCUGUUUGCAAGAGUGGAAAUGAUAAUUUGACUUGUCACAUGAAAUCAGAUAUUCAAUUAUUUUGUCAUAAUCAGUUACACUGCUGAUAAUGUCCUGCUUGCAUGUGAAACAUGUUAUAAAAAAAAAAAAAAAAAAAAAAGAUUAUAUGAAUAUAGCUUGCUAUUAAAGACACACGUUUAAUCAUGGAAAUGCCCACAUAUAAGUGAACUUAUUACAUAAAUGCAUUUAACAUUUAAUUAUGCUACACUCUUUACAGAAGGAAAUUCUACCGUUAUGUAUAAACUCAUAACAUCAUCAAGUGCUGUGCUGGGCACAUUGGGCACAUUUCCCGUUUGUUGCUGCCGCGUUGUUUGAGUUCGAGCUCUGUCGAGUUGCUUCCUAAUUGCUUGUUUUUUCUCUUAAAAUCAAAUCUAUAACAUAUCAUUCUCUCUUUUACGGUGAGGGAACACAUCUCUACCUUUGAGUGCACGUGAGGACACGUUCGAGCUGCAUGCAGUGCAGCUGGAACUGGAGGCCGUGGAAUGACAGAUUCGGACCCUCCAGUAGUCAGAAUUUGGGGUACCAUUCACAACCAAUAGCCUAUAAACUUUGGAGGACUAAGGAUAUUUAAAUAUAUCUCUGAUUGUGUUCAUCUGAAAGGAUAUAAUCAUAUAAACCUUGGGUGGCUUGAGGGGAUGUGAUUCCUUCAUGUGCACCUCAUACAGGAGCGGCACACAAACAUCAUUCAGUUUUGAACGCAGUUGAGAAUCAUAAAGGUGGCCUAGAAUUGAAAAUUUAAUAUACCUUGCCAUAGUUGAAUAACAAGAGUUCAGUACAUGGAGAUGACAUACAGUGACUCUCAAACACCAUUGUUUCCUCCUUCUUAUGUAAAUCUCAUUUGUUUAAAAGACCUCUGGAAAACAGGUGAAUCUGAAAACAGAUUGUGAUGCAACAGUCGGGAUCAUUAAUAUGUACGCCCCCAAUAUUUGCAUAUGCCAGCCCAUGUUCAAGGCAUUAGACAAGGCAGUAACGUCUGGAUCUGUGCACAGCUGAAUAA